UGUGCUCUGUCCCACGCAGCUCCAGUCUAAGCCUCUUCCUUCCUUGCCCAGUUCCCAGAAGCACCCCAGACUCCCUUCCUCCCCAUUGCCCACGCUCAGGGGGACAGCCGGAUGUGGCUUGUGAUUGGACUAGAGAAUUCCUUGUUGUGAUUGGAUUAGAGAAUUCCUUGCUGUGUUUCCAUACUACCUCCUGUUCACUUCUGAGGGAUUCCUGGAUUCAAUAUGAAAGAUAAAGUCCCACUCACGAUGCAAACGAAACUGUAGAGCCAAAAAAAGGAUGGAGUACCCUUCCGUGCCCACAGGGAAGACCCCCAGGUGAAGCUGGACUCAAUGUUAAGGAGAACCCUGAGAGAAGACAUCUGGGAAGCAAGGCAGGAGCUUCAGUAUCGGAUGUGGCACCUGGCUCACAGAAGGCACCCGGUCAAUAUCUUUUGCUUCACUGAAUGAAGGGAAGGGUUAACAGGGAGACAAACAGAAGCAUCACAAAAGCAGAGCGUGGAUCUGUGCCUCUCUUUCUGAAACUGCCGUUCCACACUUACAAAAGGACCAAACUGAGCUGUGAGUCCCUUCAUCACUAGGGCAGUCACAGGCUUUGUGGAAAGUACCUUUAGGGAAGAUGAAGAACAUUCCACCUUCACAAGGUAGAAGAGGAAAAGACCAGAGGCGCAGCAUCCUUCCAAAGUCAAGGAGGAAAAAAAGCAGAAGGCGGGCAGUAGGUUGGAACACCAGAGGUCUCCUGGGUAAGACUUUUAGGAACAAUAUAAAACUAACCGGCCUCUGCUCUGUUCUAGCUACACUGAGAGAGGUGGGGAAAGUCAUGAGUCUACCAUACA
rnacentral:lncRNA from 1 species